rnacentral:misc_RNA from 1 species
AUAAAACAGAAAUCUAUUUGUUCAUAAUUUUAGGGACCAUACCCCAGACAAUAUUCUGUUACAAGCAAAAUCAAAUGAAUGUUUACUGAAUUAAUACAUCUGACAAUAGAUGUAUCAGGAUCAAGAAAUUUUCAGCAACGGUUGCGUGAGCGGAGAUUAUAUUUUCUUGUUAUGGAAGUUGAAAUUGAGUUCUCUCCAACUUCUUCUGGAAUAAUGUAGUCAGGGUCUUCCAACUUAUCAACUUCGACUGGUAACUCAGUUUUAACCCAUGAAGGCCAGUCGACAUCACUGUCUGUUUCCCAUGAAUCCUCUUUAUUUAUUUGCAUGUCAUUAACCUUGUCAAUUAAUGUUCGUAUCAUCUGAUGAUUCAGAACUUCAUAGUCCCUGUAUGUGUAAAUGGCAUGUAGAAACUGAAUGGAUGAGAGAAGCACAUAGAGCGACCUGACCAAGUUAAUUAGCCAUGUUCGCUGUUCAAUAGUAUUUGUUGUCAAUCGAAGAAUCGCAACUUCUAUCAAGAAUGUAGCACAGAGACCGAUGUAUAGCCUGGCUCUUACAGUAUAUGUUUGUUUUGUGCUAGUGAACAUGUAAAUGAUAAAGAUUGACAUGGUGUAGAUGAAGAAAGCUUUAAUUAUUCGCGAUUCAAGUAACAUAGCAUUAUGCAGAGCAAACAGUUUAUCCAGGGCUAUGAACAUGCUUGCUUGUUUUGAUUCAAAAGCUUCCUGAGCUGUCAAUAUUGACUUUGAAUUUUCAAUCAAGUUGUCAUGAACUUGUUGAAGCAGUUCUUGCCGCUGGAGAAGCUCUUCCUGCUGUUUACGGCCAUAUUCUGCUAAUCUCUCAAGAGUACUCCUGCUUUCUUCUAGUGCUUCUGAUUGGAAUUCAGUUAGGAAUUGAAGACCCUUGAGUGCAGAGGAUUGCCCAUCUAAAAGUUGAUGUUGCUUGUCCAAGGAUUUCCCUGCUUUAUCCUCAAUGUCAUCAGCUGUACUCUGCAAAUUUUGCAUCCUUGAGGACAUUGUUUCUCCAACUUUAUCAAUCUGCUUCUCUAUUUCAGCAGCCUCAUUCCUCAUAUUUUCCACUUGUUGGCCCAAAUGGGUGUAAGCGUCAUAAAUGUUUGCCAUCCCUUCCUUCAACCUGUCAUUCAUUCUUGCCUGUUCUUCUCGCAGUUGGGAUUGAGAAUCUGCUAUUUCUCUAGAUUGCCUAUAAACAGCUUCUGAAUGCUGAGAUAAAACAUCCAUGUGAUCCUUCACAUCCUUCGAUGUUUGAGCUACAUUUUGAACACGAAAAUCAAUGGAGCUCAAGGUCUCAUGAAUUUGAUUUGAGCUCUUUGAUAGGGAUUGUGUUCUCUCUUGUAUGAUAUCUAGUUGGUCUGUGGUGUAUUCUGCAGAAUUUUUAAGAUCAUUCACUAGUCCCUCCAUUUUAUGCUUGAAGGAAUGGGCCUGUAACUGAUAGCAAAUGGAGUUGGUUUCAAGUAAGAAUUCAAGAAAAAUCUGAUGCUCGUGUUCAUUUAACUUCUUGAGACAAUUAACCAUGGCAGAUUUUGCGUCACAGUAAGGAAAAGGCGGUCUGCCGGAGUCCCUUUGGAAGCAAUCACUAAGAUGCCAAGCAAAUCUUGACCGCUUCUCUUCGACGGCAAGAAUCUGUGAGCAGCCGGCAAAGAGCUGUUGAUAAGCAUUUUGCCAACAAGAAUUUGAGCCUGCCAGUUUAUUUUUGGCACUUUCAACCAGCCUCACUCCCUUCUCAUCUCUAAAGCCAUCCAUUGAAAAUUCUGGAACAGAACCAGUGGAAAGAUCUCUUCUUCUCUGAGAAGUGUUAUCGGCUGAGCCAUCAGUCUCUUUUGAAGAAGAGAACCAACCCCAUGAAUGGCACCUUACUGACAUUGAAACAAGCAGAAAGAGAAGAAGAAGAAGAUGACGGCCCAUUUUCAGUUUCUCCUAAACCCAAGCCUGCAUCCCCCAGUCUCCGAAA